rnacentral:rRNA from 1 species
AGGAUGAACGCUGGCGGUAUGCCUAACACAUGCAAGUCGUACGAGAGUUUUUAAUUCUAGUGGCGGACGGGUGAGUAACACGUGAGAAUUUACCUUUAGGAGGGGGGAUAACAAUUGGAAACGAAUGCUAAUACCCCAUAUGCUUUUGAGUGAAAUGGAUUUAUAAUUAUCCGCCUAAAGAAAAGCUCGCGGCUGAUUAGCUUGUUGGUAAGGUAAGAGCUUACCAAGGCGACGAUCAGUAUCUGGUUUGAGAGGACGAUCAGACACACUGGAACUGAGACACGGUCCAGACUCCUACGGGAGGCAGCAGUGGGGAAUUUUCCGCAAUGGGCGAAAGCCUGACGGAGCAAUACCGCGUGAGGGAAGACUGCCUAUGGGUUGUAAACCUCUUUUUCAGGGAGGAAUAAAAUGACGUGUACCUGAAGAAUAAGCACCGGCUAACUACGUG